rnacentral:misc_RNA from 1 species
GUCUCCAUAAUUCUCGCUAUAUCCGAGUCCCGUCCCGUUAGUUCCUGCACAAGUGACCUAAAUCUCGAGGCACUUGUCUUAACUUUCAUCGGAGUAGAAAUGUACACAACUUUGAAAUUUGACUUCUUCGAUUUAUAACCGUCUUUUCUCUUUUGUUUCUUGUUAUUCAUUAUCAUAACUACGCUUCAGUCUCAAAUUAGUUUA